AUGAACGCUGGCGGCGUGCCUAAUACAUGCAAGUCGAGCGAACAGACGAGGAGCUUGCUCCUCUGACGUUAGCGGCGGACGGGUGAGUAACACGUGGAUAACCUACCUAUAAGACUGGGAUAACUUCGGGAAACCGGAGCUAAUACCGGAUAAUAUAUUGAACCGCAUGGUUCAAUAGUGAAAGACGGUUUUGCUGUCACUUAUAGAUGGAUCCGCGCCGCAUUAGCUAGUUGGUAAGGUAACGGCUUACCAAGGCAACGAUGCGUAGCCGACCUGAGAGGGUGAUCGGCCACACUGGAACUGAGCCACGGUCCAGACUCCUACGGGAGGCAGCAGUAGGGAAUCUUCCGCGAUGGGCGAAAGCCUGACGGAGCAACGCCGCGUGAGUGAUGAAGGUCUUCGGAUCGUAAAACUCUGUUAUUAGGGAAGAACAAAUGUGUAAGUAACUAUGCACGUCUUGACGGUACCUAAUCAGAAAGCCACGGCUAACUACGUG
rnacentral:rRNA from 1 species